CGCGCCUAACACAUGCAAGUCGAACGAGCGAGAGAGAGCUUGCUUUCUCGAGCGAGUGGCGAACGGGUGAGUAACGCGUGAGGAACCUGCCUCAAAGAGGGGGACAACAGUUGGAAACGACUGCUAAUACCGCAUAAGCCCACGGGUCGGCAUCGACCAGAGGGAAAAGGAGCAAUCCGCUUUGAGAUGGCCUCGCGUCCGAUUAGCUAGUUGGUGAGGUAACGGCCCACCAAGGCAACGAUCGGUAGCCGGACUGAGAGGUUGAACGGCCACAUUGGGACUGAGACACGGCCCAGACUCCUACGGGAGGCAGCAGUGGGGAAUAUUGCACAAUGGGGGAAACCCUGAUGCAGCGACGCCGCGUGGAGGAAGAAGGUCUUCGGAUUGUAAACUCCUGUUGUUGGGGAAGAUAAUGACGGUACCCAACAAGGAAGUGACGGCUAACUACGUGCCAGCAGCCGCGGUAAAACGUAGGUCACAAGCGUUGUCCGGAAUUACUGGGUGUAAAGGGAGCGCAGGCGGGAAGACAAGUUGGAAGUGAAAUCUAUGGGCUCAACCCAUAAACUGCUUUCAAAACUGUUUUUCUUGAGUAGUGCAGAGGUAGGCGGAAUUCCCGGUGUAGCGGUGGAAUGCGUAGAUAUCGGGAGGAACACCAGUGGCGAAGGCGGCCUACUGGGCACCAACUGACGCUGAGGCUCGAAAGUGUGGGUAGCAAACAGAAGUAGAUACCCUGGUAGUCCACACCGUAAACGAUGAUUAACUAGGUGUUGGAGGGAUUGACCCCUUCAGUGCCGCAGUUAACACAAUAAGUAAUCCACCUGGGGGAGUACGACCGCAAGGUGGAAACUCAAAGGAAUUGACGGGGGCCCGCACAAGCAGUGGAGUAUGUGGUUUAAUUCGACGCAACGCGAAGAACCUUACCAAGUCUUGACAUCCCUUGACAGGCAUAGAAAUAUGUUUUCUCUUCGGAGCAAGGAGACAGGUGGUGCAUGGUUGUCGUCAGCUCAUGUCGUGAGAUGUUGGGUUAAGUCCCGCAACGAGCGCAACCCUUAUGGUCAGUUACUACGCAAGAGGACUCUGGCCAGACUGCCGUUGACAAAACGGAGGAAGGUGGGGAUGACGUCAAAUCAUCAUGCCCUUUAUGACUUGGGCUACACACGUACUACAAUGGCGUCAAACAAAGAGAAGCAAGACCGCGAGGUGGAGCAAAACUCAGAAACAACGUCCCAGUUCGGACUGCAGGCUGCAACUCGCUUGCACGAAGUCGGAAUUGCUAGUAAUCGUGGAUCAGCAUGCCUCGGUGAAUACGUUCCCGGGCUUUGCUCACACCGCCCUUC
rnacentral:rRNA from 1 species